UGCAGACAAUGGCCAUUGGACAUUCUCACUUUCUUCUCUCUCUAUGUCUCUUUCCCCCACAGCCUGGGGUUGAAACAGGUGAGCUUGUCUUUCCCUGGGCCAGAUGCUCCUUCAACGAGCAGCAAGUCAUAUGCCUCUGCUGUCUCAGGAUAAGGGAGGUUCUCACUGCUGUUUCAAGAUUGCCACCAUCACACCAAGUUUUCAGGAAGAGAGGAGCCAAAGGAAUUUGGAGAUUGCUCCUUUUAGAAUUCUGACCACCUGUUGGUGCUGCUCCACGUCUGGUCCCAGUCUCUGAGGAUUUGCCUUCAUACCUAUGAUAUGUAGGAAGAAAGAUGUGUGUCCUGCCUUUUCAACAGAGAGAUGACGCACUCACGGGCCAAGCACAGGAUCUGGGACGUUGCAGUUCAAGUCUCAAGGGCAGGGACCUAUUUUCCUGUAUCUGACUGUGACUUUGGCUGCAUGACCUUGGAUAUCAUGCUCUCUGAGCUGCAGUUCCUUCAUGGAGGAAAAAGUAGAGCAUGGUUGUGGCUAGGUGAUCAUUAGCAUCUCUUCCCCCCAAAAUUUCCUCUUCGACCUUGGCCUCAACUUACCCUGCAAAAUGCAUCAUCAGCCUGGAGCCAUCACCAGCGCCUGACAGCCGUGUCGCUACCUUGGAGGGACUGUGCUACCUUCUCGGGGACCUGUGUGACCUUUCCUGCAGUGGUAGAGCUAAUUCCACUGUCACUCACUGCCUGACGGUGUCUUUGUGUGGGAUCAGAACAACUUCUGUUCAGAACCAUUUGAGUCCUCUUGGCUUUAAUAAAGGGACCUUCCCACAUGGAAGGGACCGCUUCAUUUUGUGGAUGCACAGUUUCCAGGCCAUGGCACACACUUACCCCUGUGACCUCCUUCAUGAGAGAAAAAGAAUGUAUCACUGUGAUUUUGCCCUCGAAAGUACUGAAAAUCUGCAUUCCCCUCUGUUUGAUUGAUCUGCCCUGGGCUCUGGGAGUGACUUGGUAGCCACAGGACAGAAAUCGAAGUGGUCACGAGAUCUUGGGAACCUAGCCAGUCCAUUCAAUGAGCUCUCCAUCUGCUUACAAAUUGCACCCUGUUGCUUUUAUCAAAUGACUCAGUGAACCGGGAAUAUAUGUGCUUUUUGGUUUUUUAAUACAGGAGAGAUUUUGUCAGACCAGAACUUGAUGGAAAUUUUGAAGUGUUCUAUGGAACCAGAUGUUGUGCAGUUCAUUAAAAUUAAGUGAACUAUUUAAUACAGAUGUGUAUAGAUAUUGAGCGUCUUUUUACUGACUUUUAUCCUUCAAAAGUUCAAAUUGAUCUGCGUUUCUUAAAGAAGGGCUAAGAAUAAAGAAAACAGCAGGAAGUGCCCUCAUGACAUCAUUGCCAAGAUAUGGCCUUAGUCACUUUGUGUGUUAUAAGAAGUGUUCAUAAUAAUUUUGGAGAUGGUUAUCACUGGCACCCGUGUGGUCCUGCUUAUGAAUCUAGGAAGAAUUACCAAAACCAAUUUUCAUUGUGAUUCUGAAGUAACGUGAAGUAAAAACAGACUUCAAUUUUGAAACUACCUUCAUGCAUAAUUAUAAAAUAAAUAGUAUGCUUGCAUCGCAAGAAAGUAACGAAAACAAUUCUAGGAUUUACUAAGGAUGAAGCUGCUCAGAAUUUACUGACUCUUUUCUGGGUCCAGAUCACCUCUUUCACCAGAGCAAAAGCUGAAGAUUCAGAGCCAGCUCUACCAUUGACCAGCUGAGAUUCACAAAUGUCCACAUAUCUUCCUCAUCUGUGAAAUGGGAUUCUUACAGAACUUAUCCCGUAGAGUUCAAGGAGAAACAACUGCUGUGCAGCAUGUUAAAUAUGUAACAUAUGCCUGGCGCUUUGUGAGGCCCUUAAUUAUCAGCAACCAUGAUGAAUUUUGUGACUCUCACUGUGGGACAUACUGUCGUGAAACUUUGAUCUUUAUACUGUUUCCAAGUAGAAAGACACAAUAAAUAUAACUAAUGAUGCUGUUAUAUUGUAUAAAAUGAAACAAUCAACAAUCUGGAAAAUAUCACCCCAUCUUGAAUAUACAAAGCCUAGGCAUCAGCUAUGUCUAGUGAGCGUGAAACGGUUUCUUACCCCAAGGGGAAAGUUGCCAGGGAAAGAGAACAUUUGUCUCCAGCUACUGUGGCUCAGGGGACAUUUGGAAAUGAGAUAGAACAGGAAAAAAAUGAGGCUCUGUAAACAGCCACAGGAAAGGGGGCAUGUAAGAUGUAAUGGGAAAUCAUUCAGACAGAACUUUGACCACACUACCAAGCAUACCAGGAGGAUGGGAUGUCCUUCCCAUCACGGUAGUCAAGUGAAGGGCAUUUGGAAGAGAAUGUCCAAGGAAGCCCAGGUCCCUUGGGCAAUUAUUAUAAAAUGAAAAUCGAGCAGCUCUAGGAACUGAAGCACUUUGUAUGUAAGUCCUGAGAAAGGAACUGGGCAAUCAGAGAGGCUAAGAACUUGCCAAAGGUAAAAUGCUGAAAUGCCGGCAGGCUAACACAGGUGCAAGGAGCGGAUACAAUUUAAUGGCUUUAUUCAGAGUCUGGGGAGGAGUUACUGGCACUUGUCACCAGUUCUAAUUCCACCAGUGGCAACUGUACACAGUUCAUUGUGUAAAUAAUGUUGACUGGUUUUGUAUCUCCCCCCCCAAACACACAUACACACACACACACACACACACACACACACACACACACACUCUUCUAAAACUCUUCAAAAACUUAAAGAUCCUUUUAGAUAUGUUUAAAAAGAAGGGUAAUAGAUGAAUGGUAUCAAUAGCAUUGUUUACACUCACCAUCCCAGUAUAGGGACAGGUUAGUUCAUGGUGAGGGAGUUAAGACUGUGAGCAGACUACUGAAUUAUGGUUUACUCUGUGGCCUUGCAAAUAGCUGUGAAAAGAAGAGAAGCAAAAAGCA